GAACGCUGGCGGCAGGCUUAACACAUGCAAGUCGAACGAAGUUAGGAAGCUUGCUUCUGAUACUUAGUGGCGGACGGAUGAGUAAUGCUUAGGAAUCUGCCUAGUAGUGGGGGAUAACUUGGGGAAACCCAAGCUAAUACCGCAUACGACCUACGGGUGAAAGGGGGCUUUUAGCUCUCGCUAUUAGAUGAGCCUAAGUCGGAUUAGCUGGUUGGUGGGGUAAAGGCCUACCAAGGCGACGAUCUGUAGCUGGUCUGAGAGGAUGAUCAGCCACACUGGGACUGAGACACGGCCCAGACUCCUACGGGAGGCAGCAGUGGGGAAUAUUGGACAAUGGGCGAAAGCCUGAUCCAGCCAUGCCGCGUGUGUGAAGAAGGCCUUUUGGUUGUAAAGCACUUUAAGUGGGGAGGAAAAGCUUAUGGUUAAUACCCAUAAGCCCUGACGUUACCCACAGAAUAAGCACCGGCUAACUCUGUGCCAGCAGCCGCGGUAAUACAGAGGGUGCAAGCGUUAAUCGGAAUUACUGGGCGUAAAGCGCGCGUAGGUGGUUAUUUAAGUCAGAUGUGAAAGCCCCGGGCUUAACCUGGGAACUGCAACUGAUACUGGAUAACUAGAGUAGGUGAGAGGGGAGUAGAAUUCCAGGUGUAGCGGUGAAAUGCGUAGAGAUCUGGAGGAAUACCGAUGGCGAAGGCAGCUCCCUGGCAUCAUACUGACACUGAGGUGCGAAAGCGUGGGUAGCAAACAGGAUUAGAUACCCUGGUAGUCCACGCCGUAAACGAUGUCUACCAGUCGUUGGGUCUUUUAAAGACUUAGUGACGCAGUUAACGCAAUAAGUAGACCGCCUGGGGAGUACGGCCGCAAGGUA
rnacentral:rRNA from 1 species